rnacentral:misc_RNA from 1 species
GAUGAAGAACUCAGCGAAAUGGGAUAAGUAAUGUGAAUUGCAGAAUUCAGUGAAUCAUCGAAUCUUUGAACGCACAUUGCGCCCCUUGGUAUUCCGGGGGGCAUGCCUCUUCCAGCGUCAUUUCACCCCUCAAGCUCUGCUUGGUUUUGGGCCGCGCCGGCAACGGCGGGCCUCGAAAAUAGUGGCGACGCCAUCGUGCUCUCAGCGUAGUAAUUCUUCUCGCUGUUGGGUCCCGGUGGUCGUCCGCCAGCAACCCCCAACUUUCUUAAGUUUGACCUGGGAUGAGGCAGGGAUACCCGCUGAACUUAAGCAUAUCAAUAAGCGGAGGA